GGAUUAGAUACCCUGGUAGUCCACGCCGUAAACGAUGAUUACUCGUUUUUGGAUUUUAGGAUUCAGAGACUAAGCGAAAGUGAUAAGUAAUCCACCUGGGGAGUACGUUCGCAAGAAUGAAACUCAAAGGAAUUGACGGGGGCCCGCACAAGCGGUGGAGCAUGUGGUUUAAUUCGAUGAUACGCGAGGAACCUUACCAAGACUUAAAUGGGAAAUGACAGAUUUAGAAAUAGAUCCUUCUUCGGACAUUUUUCAAGGUGCUGCAUGGUUGUCGUCAGCUCGUGCCG
rnacentral:rRNA from 1 species